UGCAAUCAUGUUUCAAAUAGAUUUUAAAGAAAGAAAAUAAUGAGGCUUUUAAUUCCAGGAUCUGAGAACUAGAAGAACAAGAGGAAGGGGGGGGGAGGAAGACAACUACAAGCAUGCCACGAUUUUUCUAAGCAACUGUAAUUAUUUAUAUUAAUACUUUCCUUCAUAUUUAUAGAAUGGGCCAGCCACUAUUUUUGGAGGGCAAGAAUGGGAAAAAGCUUCACUCCUCCAGGACUGUUUUCCUGCUGUGGCUUCAAAGUAUUUCUUCCCCCUCUUUAUGUUACCUUGACUGCUUUUGUGAGUUUUAACUGUUCCACUUUAUAGAUAGUCCUCACUUAACGUCCAUUUGUUCAUUGACCAUUGAAGAUUACAACAGUGCUAAGCAAAUGGUAGUUAAGACUGACCAUUAGUUACAGCCAUUACAGCACAGUUACAUGAUCAAAAUUCUGGCACUUGGCAGCCUGCUUACCUUUAUGACCACAGAGUGUGUUUCAACCCCGCUCCUCCAUUUCAGUCCUCCAUCUCUGUCCAAGUGGCCACCUUGCACUCUCUCUUGUACCUCUGCUGCCCCUGCUAGUCCCCUCUGCUCUUCACUGCUUUCUUGCAUAAAGUAUAACCAGUGAGGCACUUUCUGGCACUCUUACCAGCAAUGGGAAAAAGAAGAUGACAAAGGGGCAUCCAUGGGUCAUCAGGGAUAAGCAGUAGACGCCUCACACAGGGCCAGCAGCUGCCUCAGCAAAUGCACCAUGACAACAGUAGGGGGAAGAUAUGUUAAAAGCAGCUGAGGGUAGUGAGGCAGUGGGGUAGAUGUGUCAAAGUGUAGGGCAGCUGAGAGGCCAAAGAUGGUGGAGAUAGGCAUUUAUAUCAGCUCACCCUUGAUAGAGAGGGCAUGUUGCAAGUCCCACCAGUUAGAGACUUGCAUUUGGUGGUUCCCAAGAGAUGUGGCCUUUCUGCAGUGGAAUCCACCUUAUCCUUCCUCUCAAAAUUAGAUCAGCUCCAUCCCUUUUGAUAUUCCAAGAGGCCCUCAAGAUCUGGUUGUGCUAUCAGAUGUGGGUCUCCCACAGUCUUGGAAUCUUGAUGAGAUGCCUUGUUGUUGAGGUGGCCAUUUUUAUCCCUCUCAUCACCUAUGGCUUGUAUUUUUGGGGUUUUUUAUGUUC